CGGCAGUGGCGGCAGGCUACACAUGCAGUCGAGCGGAUGACGGGAGCUUGCUCCUUGAUUCAGCGGCGGACGGGUGAGUAAUGCCUAGGAAUCUGCCUGGUAGUGGGGGACAACGUUUCGAAAGGAACGCUAAUACCGCAUACGUCCUACGGGAGAAAGCAGGGGACCUUCGGGCCUUGCGCUAUCAGAUGAGCCUAGGUCGGAUUAGCUAGUUGGUGGGGUAAUGGCUCACCAAGGCGACGAUCCGUAACUGGUCUGAGAGGAUGAUCAGUCACACUGGAACUGAGACACGGUCCAGACUCCUACGGGAGGCAGCAGUGGGGAAUAUUGGACAAUGGGCGAAAGCCUGAUCCAGCCAUGCCGCGUGUGUGAAGAAGGUCUUCGGAUUGUAAAGCACUUUAAGUUGGGAGGAAGGGCAGUAAGUUAAUACCUUGCUGUUUUGACGUUACCGACAGAAUAAGCACCGGCUAACUCUGUGCCAGCAGCCGCGGUAAUACAGAGGGUGCAAGCGUUAAUCGGAAUUACUGGGCGUAAAGCGCGCGUAGGUGGUUUGUUAAGUUGGAUGUGAAAGCCCCGGGCUCAACCUGGGAACUGCAUCCAAAACUGGCAAGCUAGAGUACGGUAGAGGGUGGUGGAAUUUCCUGU
rnacentral:rRNA from 1 species